AACGUAGGUGGCAAGCGUUAUCCGGAAUUACUGGGCGUAAAGGGUGUGCAGGCGGGAGGGUAAGUGGCGUAUGAAAUAUCCCAGCUUAACUGGGAGGGGUUAUGCCAGACUGCCUUUCUAGAGGACGAGAGAGGGGGGUGGAAUUCCGGGUGUAGUGGUGAAAUGCGUAGAGAUCCGGAGGAACCCCAGAGGCGAAGGCGGCCCCCUGGCUCGUACCUGACGCUCAGCCACGAAAGCAUGGGGAGCGAACGGG
rnacentral:rRNA from 1 species